rnacentral:rRNA from 1 species
AUUGAACGCUGGCGGCAGGCCUAACACAUGCAAGUCGUACGAGUGGCGGACGGGUGAGUAAUGUCUGGGAAACUGCCUGAUGGAGGGGGAUAACUACUGGAAACGGUAGCUAAUACCGCAUACCAUCGGAUGUGCCCAGAUGGCAUUAGCUAGUAGGUGGGGUAAAGGCUCACCUAGGCGACGAUCCCUAGCUGGUCUGAGAGGAUGACCGGCCACACUGGAACUGAGACACGGGCCAGACUCCUACGGUAGGCAGCAGUGGGGAAUAUUGCAGAAUGGGCGCACGCCUGAUGCAGCGAUGCCGCGUGUAUGAUGAAGGCCUUCGGGUUGUAAAGUACUUUCAGCGGGGAGGCGUUACCCGCAGAAGAAGAACCGGCUAACUCCGUGCCAGCAGCCGCGGUAAUUC